rnacentral:rRNA from 1 species
AAAACAACUCUCAGCAACGGAUAUCUUGGCUCUUGCAACGAUGAAGAACGCAGAGAAAUGCGAUACGUAGUGUGAAUUGCAGAAUUCCGCGAAUCAUCGAGUCUUUGAACGCAAGUUGCGCCCGARGCUUGUCCGAGGGCAUUUCCGAUAGAGCGUCACC